AGGAUCAUUAAUGAAUUUUAGAGGAUUGAUGCUGGCAGUCUAACUGCAUGUGCUCGCCCUCCUAAUCCUAUUUACACCUGUGCAUUUAACUUUUUUGGGGAUAGAGUAUAAUCUACCUCGGAAUUCUUCUAAAUAAACUCUUGUUUAUAAUCAUGAAUGUUUAUCUGCCAUAAGGCAAAAGAAAAUUAAUACAACUUUUAACAACGGAUCUCUUGGUUCUCGCAUCGAUGAAGAACGCAGCGAAAUGCGAUAAGUAAUGUGAAUUGCAGAAUUCAGUGAAUCAUCGAAUCUUUGAACGCACCUUGCGCUCCCUGGUAUUCCGGGGAGCACACCUGUUCGAGUGUCAUAAAACUCUCAAGCGAGAUGUUCCGUCUCUGUUUGGAUUUGGACUCUGCUGUGUUAAUGCAGCUGGUCUUAAAUGUAUUAGCUUAGUCCUCUAGUAAAGGUUUGGUUCUACUCAGCAUGAUAAUUAUCUGAUGUUGAGGACAGUCUUAGGGCUGGCCAGACUCUCUUGGGAUUGCUUCUAAUCGUCUUUGGAUAAUUUACUCAAUAUUUGGCCUCGAGUCAGGUGGGACUACCCGCUGAACUUAAGCAUAUCAAUAAGCGGAGGAAAAGAAACUAACAAGGAUUCCCCUAGUAACUGCGAGUGAAGCGGGAUGAGCUCAAAUUUAAAAUCUGGUAGUCUUCGACUAUCCGAGUUGUAAUCUAGAGAAGUGUUUUCUGUGCUGGACUGUGUUCAAGUUUCCUGGAUAUGGAACAUCAUAGAGGGUGAGAAUCCCGUCCUUGAUACAGACUCCCAGUGCUUUAUGAUACACUCUCAACGAGUCGAGUUGUUUGGGAUUGCAGCUCAAAAUGGGAGGUAAAUUCCUUCUAAAGCUAAAUAUUGGCGAGAGACCGAUAGCGAACAAGUACCGUGAGGGAAAGAUGAAAAGCACUUUGGAAAGAGAGUUAAACAGUACGUGAAAUUGUUAAAAGGGAAACGAUUGAAGUCAGUCACGUCUACUUGGACUCAGCCUUACCUUGGUUUGGCGCAUUUCCUUGUGGACGGGCCAGUGUCUAUGUUGAUUGCUAGAGAAAGUUCAGAGGAAUGUGGCUCUUUUAGUUAGAGUGUUAUAGCCUCAUGUUCAUAUAUAGUGAUUGGUAUAGAGUGGUACAGCAUAC
rnacentral:rRNA from 1 species